UUAUUGUAAGAUUUUACUUUUAAAACAUGACUAAAAUAAUUUCUAAUGAUGAUUCUUGUACAUGACUUUUUAUUUUGUUUAUCAAAUGCAGCAUCAAAGUUGAUUUUAACAUUCGUGCCCUCUAGAGGAUUCUAGUGUUCCUUUGCCACUGUGUUGACAGAUGCUUUCUUGUUAACUCCUUCUAUCUCCCGCAAAUAUUCUAUAAUGAAUUGCACCAAACUUGCCUCUGAUUGUAUCUUAUUUUCAUGAACCACUUUAUUUAUGGUCGUCCAUAAUCCCCAAAUUGCACACAC
rnacentral:lncRNA from 1 species